rfam:Actinotalea fermentans ATCC 43279 = JCM 9966 = DSM 3133 contig344, whole genome shotgun sequence.
GGCACCCCCGACUCCACUCGGAUCGUCCGGCACGUACCUGCCGGUGGAGGGAAUGCA